CAUGAAGCUGUUUUUUCGCAUUACAGAGAUUUAUAUGUUUGCGUUUACAUAUUGCAGGUGUUUCCAUAAAAGCUCGGGGUAGACACAUUCAGGAUGGCCUGAAAGAAAAUGGAGAAGUGCUUAAAAUGUUACUGAGCACACUUACAAAUAUCAUCCUGGAGCAGAAGAGUGAAGUCACUGCAGAAACGAGGGAGCACAGGCAGAUCCCUUCAUGCCUUUGGAAGCUCUGGCUAUCACUGCACCAGGUGGAAAAAGACUGUGGACAGGAAUUAUCUAAGGACCACAAUUCAGGCACUGAAGGAGCAAAACUGCAACCCACCCAAUAUAAUUCCUGUAAACUCAAUGUGCCAAGGUUUCCAACAAGCACCAUCUCUGGUAACCACAGUCAUUCCCAUGCCAGGCCUUACAGAAACUGGUCAGAAUGGUUUUGGAGAUCUGGACAGCCCCUGAUCUUUCUGAGGAAGGAAAAAGCAGCUCAGCUGAGCAUUCUGGGUGCUGAGCUGCAUCCUCUUUGGUCUCCUACAAACCCAAUCACUGCCUCCCCCAACCCUCAAGUCCCAUUUUGUGUCUCUUCUACUUCAAGAAUCGAAUCCCAUUUAGAAUGUGGCUGCUUUAACUCUAUCUUCAUUUACGAAAUGUAAUAUAUGUAUUUUAUAUCUGUGAAAAUCCCCUAUUACAGUAUUGGGAAUGUUCCUUUGAUAUACAUGAUUUCAAAAUAAAUGUUGUUAGGAG
ensembl:lncRNA